rnacentral:hammerhead_ribozyme from 1 species
AUCCAGCAGACGAGUCGCGAAUAAGACGGAAGGCGCGUCCUGGAU